rnacentral:rRNA from 1 species
UACGUAGGGUGCAAGCGUUAAUCGGAAUUACUGGGCGUAAAGCGUGCGCAGGCGGCUAUGCAAGACAGAUGUGAAAUCCCCCGGGCUCAACCUGGGAACUGCAUUUGUGACUGCAUGGCUAGAGUGCGGCAGAGGGGGAUGGAAUUCCGCGUGUAGCAGUGAAAUGCGUAGAUAUGCGGGAGGAACACCGAUGGCGAAGGCAAUCCCCUGGGCCUGCACUGACGCUCAUGCACGAAAGCGUGGGGGAGCAAACAAGG